GACAGAGGGUGCGAACGUUGUUCGGAAUUACUGGGCGUAAAGCGCAUGUAGGCGGCAGCGCAAGUCGGGCGUGAAAUCCCACGGCUCAACCGUGGAAGUGCACUCGAAACUGCGCAGCUAGAGUCCUGGAGAGGAAGGUGGAAUGCUUGGUGUAGAGGUGAAAUUCGUAGAUAUCAAGCGGAACACCCGUGGCUAAGGCGGCUCUCUAGUACGGUACUGACGCUGAGGCGCGAAAGCGUGGGGAGCGAACGAGGA
rnacentral:rRNA from 1 species